UCCCAUGCCACAACAGCAAAAGGCAAAAGGCACUGGGACAUGAGAUCUUAAACUGAACAGUGGAGAGAGAGUUAAUAUGUGGCAAUGGAAACAGUCAUGAGAGCUUCUGAGGCCAUUCCCUCUUUGCAGACAGACCUGCUGUGAUUUGACCAUGAUGUCAUCUUCUGAGUAAACUAUUCCUCAUGUAAUGCAAGAUCUGGGACCUCUGGGAAGGAUGUUCUAUUAGUCCAAACAUAGUUCCCUGAAAUGCAUGCACUCCACUGAAGAACAACCCUGUCUGAGCGUCAGGGAGACAGACAUGGGAAUCAAAGUGGCCACAAGUUUUUGGGCAGCUAUAAAUUACCUGGUCUUGAAUGAAGCAUGUCAUCUCCCAGUGUCUGCUUUCUCAUCAUCAAACAAACAAAAUACCUCAAGACAACGUCUGUUCACCACAGUGCCUGCAUCCUCCCUGCUUAGCCCAUAGCUUGGCUCCGACCCUUGGCGUUUCUGGUGACUAGCACUGGCCAUAGGGCUCACUAUCAGAGAAUAAAUGUGAUGAGAAGUGACA
rnacentral:lncRNA from 1 species